rnacentral:tRNA from 1 species
UCCUCGUUAGUAUAGUGGUGAGUAUCCCUGCCUGUUACUCAGGAGUCCAGAGUUCAAUUCCCUGAUGGGAAG